UACGGAGGGUGCAAACGUUGCUCGGAAUCAUUGGGCGUAAAGCGCACGUAGGCGGUCCAGCAAGUCGGGUGUGAAAGCCCUCGGCUUAACCGAGGAAGUGCAUUCGAAACUACUGGGCUUGAAUACUGGAGAGGGUUGCGGAAUUCCCGGUGUAGAGGUGAAAUUCGUAGAUAUCGGGAGGAACACCAGUGGCGAAGGCGGCAACCUGGACGUGUAUUGACGCUGAGGUGCGAAAGCGUGGGGAGCAAACAGG
rnacentral:rRNA from 1 species